rnacentral:rRNA from 1 species
GACGAACGCUGGCGGCGUGCUUAAUACAUGCAAGUCGAGCGGAAGGACGCGACGUUUGCGUCUUGCACGUGUGCGGAGCGGGGGAGAAAAACAUGAGUAACCUGCCCUUAUAUGUGUGGUAACUCCUCGGAACUGGGGCGAAUACACGAGAGAAUCUCCUGAUCCGUAUGGGUGAAUGGAGAAAGACGGCGUUGAUGUAAGUAAUAGCUGGAUCUGAGCUGGAUUGGGUAGUAGGUAAGGUAAAGGCUUACCAAGGCAAGGAGGCCUAGCCGAGGUGCGAGGGUGAUCGGCCACACGAGAACUGAGACACGGUCCAGACUCCUACGGGAGGCAGCAGUAGGGAAUCGGCCGCAAUGGGCGAAAGCCUGACGGAGCAACGCCGCGUGAGUGAUGAAGGUCUUCGGAUCGUAAAACUCUGUUAUUAGGGAAGGACAUAUGUGUAAGUAACUGUGCACAUCUUGACGGUACCUAAUCAGAAAGCCACGGCUAACUACGUG